CCUACGGGUGGCAGCAGUGGGGAAUAUUGCACAAUGGGCGAAAGCCUGAUGCAGCAACGCCGCGUGAGUGAUGAAGGUCUUCGGGUCGUAAAACUCUGUCCUCAGGGAAGAAAAUGACGGUACGUGAGGAGGAAGCCCCGGCUAACUACGUGCCAGCAGCCGCGGUAAUACGUAGGGGGCUAGCGUUAUCCGGAUUUACUGGGGGUAAAGGGGGCGUAGGCGGUCUUUCAAGUCAGGAGUGAAAGGCUACGGCUCAACCGUAGUAAGCCCUUGAAACUGGGAGACUUGAGUGUAGGAGAGGAGAGUGGAAUGCCUAGUGUAGCGGUGAAAUGCGUAGAUAUCAGGAAGAACACCAGUUGCGAAGGCGGCUCUCUGGACUGUAACUGACGCUGAGGCACGAAAGCGGGGGGAGCAAACAGGAUUAGAUACCCGUGUAGUC
rnacentral:rRNA from 1 species